CAACGCAGAGUAUGUUUCAGACAAUACAAAGAUGGUUUAACUUUUAAGUAUGCUGUUUUUCUUAUGGUAUUUUUUAAUUUUGCCAUUGUCUUAUUUUGGAGUAUUGUCUAUGGAUAUUAUGUAAAGCGUCGAAUUGAACAUAAUGAUAAUGACAGUCCAAUAGAAAACAGUGACGAACAAAGUGAACAUCUACAUGGGGAAUAUAGCGAAGAAGUUCAUCAUUCUAAUAACGUUGCAUUUAAUUUUUCUUCAUUUUACAUUUACAUCGUUCAUUUGGUGGUUCGCCUCAUCAUAUUGUCUGUCUUUGUUGGGUUAUUUUUCUAUGCCAAGUUUCCAAUCGAAUGCACCUGUAAAAGACGUCCAACUAUGAAAGAAAUUUCCUUGUUAAAUCACACCAUUUCUAACAUUGAUUGUGAAAAUCCCAACGGUGAUAAAAGUGAAAUUUUAAUUAAACUGUUUUAUCUGUAAGUUUAAUUGUAAUAACACUAACAAUUUUGGAGCUGUGUUACUUGACGUAUAAGGCUUGGACUGAUAACUCUUUUAAAAAAGAGGAUAAAUUUUGUGCAGUUUACUUAAAUUUUGUACCGCUCCAAAUACCUAAAAUGCUAAAAGAAAAUAAAUACAAAUAUGCAAAACCAUUGGAA